UUAAAUAUAUUCAUUAAAUGAUUUUCAAUUUCGACUUGAAAGGUAUAAAUUUUAUUAUUUAAA
rnacentral:tRNA from 1 species